UACGAAGGGGGCUAGCGUUGUUCGGAAUCACUGGGCUUAAAGGGUGCGUAGGCCGCUCCGUAAGUGUCUUGUGAAAGCCCCCGGCUCAACCGGGGAACUGCAGGGCAUACUGCGGAGCUUGAGGAAGCUAGAGGCUGGUAGAACGAUAGGUGGAGCGGUGGAAUGCGUAGAUAUCUAUCGGAAUGCCGAAAGUGAAGACAGCCAGCUGGGGCUUUCCUGACGCUGAGGCACGAAAGCGUGGGGAGCAAACCGG
rnacentral:rRNA from 1 species